UCGUAAACCACGUUUAACCUUUCUAUUUCCUGUGGUCUGUUCUUUUUAGCUGUACUGCUGGUGCAAUAAGUUAGCAUGAGACAAGUAUAUUUUGUCUCGUUCCAACUUAUUACAUCAGUUCAGCGGUGCAGCUAAAUAGAACAGACCACUUCUCUCUUUCAUCAAGUAUCAAAUAUACAGGUGUCAGCAGCUGUUUUAUUGACCGAGAUUCGCUACCUGAGACCUGUCAAUUUCUUUCGAGCCGUCAUACAGACCGGUUUGUGAGUGCCAAAAUAGGUGCGUUAACCCCUUGGGUACAUUUGACGUCUGAGAGACGUCAUUCACUUGUUUUCCCUAGGAGCGGAUGAUGUGUCUAAAACGUUAUUUGAGGUUAGGCACAAUUCUGUUCAUUUCAUUGUAGCUUGUAUCAGUCAUAGUAGAAGAGGCAAUUACAGUAUUUCGGUGAACAUUAUUUGCGAUACACUGCCCCAUUAUGUCAAAAACAAGGAAUAUAUUUUAUGAUAGUGAUAGCGAAAGUGAUUUUGAGAAAUCUGAAGAAGAAUUGUUUAGUGAUCCUGAAAUUGACAAUUACAAUGAAAUACAAAGCGAAGGUGAUGAAGACGAUAUUGAAAUAGAAAAUGAUGACAAUUUUAAUAUAAUAUCAAGGUUUCGAAGACGCACAAGACGUUUAUCGAGCAGUGAUAGUGAAUCUUCUCGUGAACCAGUAUCAGAGGAAUGGAUUUGGGAAGAAGAAGAAAAUGUAGCCGAUAUAAAAAGUUUUUCUGAAAUAUCUGGAAUUAAUCCUUUGAGCCUGCGUAGACUAGGUGGUAAUCCUACGCCUUUAGAUGUUUUGAAAGAAGUCUUGAAUGAAGAUUUUUGGGACACUAUAGUAGAAGAGACAAAUAGAUAUGCCAGACAAGUGAUAGAAAAAGAAGGUUGUGUAACAAAAAAAAACCAAGGGUGGUUUCCUGUAAGUUCUGAUGAAAUGAAAGCUUAUAUUGCAUUAUGCAUCUUGAUGUCGCAAAUGAAGAAGCCGAAAAUGCAUAUGUAUUGGUCAAAAAGAUAUGCAAUAAGUACUCCAAUUUUUGCCAGCACUAUGCCACGCGAUAGGUUUUUUGAUAUUUCAAGCUUUCUACAUUUUACGGAUAAUGAAAAGGAAAAUAAAGAUGACAGAAUAAGAAAGAUUAGAAAUAUAGUGGAUUACCUAAAUGCUAAAUUUUGUUACCUUUAUACUCCUGAUAGUGAAGUAGCUAUUGAUGAAGCUUGUUUUGGCAUAAAAUUUUAUAAACUUUGCGAAUCUACAUCAAGUUAUUGUAUUCGUUUCAAAAUUUAUGUUGGCAAGAAUAAAAUCCAGGGAAGUGAUAUACCUGCUACUGAGAGUGUAGUCAUGGAAGUGGCACAGCCUAUUUUAAAAAAAGGUUACACGUUGUAUAUGGAUAAUUUUUAUUCAUCACCACAUUUAUUUCUGACCUUACUAAAAAAUGAUACGAAUGCUGUUGGAACUGUUCGGAAAAACAGGAAGAAUAUGCCAAAGGUGUUUUCUUCAAUGAAGUUGAAAAAAGGAGAAGUCAAAACUUUAUCCAGUCACGGUUUAUUGGCUUUGAAAUGGAGAGAUAAAAAAGACGUUCACAUACUUAGCACGAAACAUUCAAAUGCUGAUUUGAUAAACACAGGCAAAAGGAGAAAAAAUAAAGGUGGCGAUAGCGAAAAUAUUAUAAAACCGGCAUCUGUGCUUGAGUAUAAUAAAGGUAUGGGAGGCGUUGAUAAACAAGACCAAUUGCUAGCGUGCUUCCCAGUUAUGAGAAAAUGUGUAAAGGGUUAUAAGAAAAUGUUUUUUUAUCUAAUAGAUAUGGCCUUUUAUAAUGCUCAUGUUUUAUAUUCUAAAAUCAACUGCACAACCAAGGCAGGCAUUACUUCCUUUCGUUUAGCUAUUGCCGAAGAAUUGCUGGAGCAAUUGUCAUUGCCAAAUUAUAAACGUCGUGGACGUCCGUCAAGUAGCGAUACACCAUUUCGUUUGGCAGCGAAAAAUUGGGCACACUUUCCUGAGAACAUUCCGUCAACUAAGUCCAAGCAACACCCUGGAAAAAGGUGCCGUGUUUGUUAUAAGCAUAAUAUUAGGAAAGAGACUACGUGGCAGUGCAAACAAUGCAAAGUAGCACUGCAUUUACCUACUUGCUUUGAAAAAUAUCACACUCUGCAUAAUUAUUAGUAAUUGGUUUUUUUUAUAGCUUGAAUUUAUUUCAUUUAGUUUUAUUUUGUUGUUAUUAAUUUAUUUUUGUUUUGCAAUUCUAAUUACUUGAAGACAUCUUAAUACUACAUAUGUCACCAAUAUUUUAGAAAUAAAUAAAUUCUUACGUAAAAUGUACUGCUUUUACAUACUACUCCAAGCAACCAAAAAUUAUAUCCGUUCCACAUGUAAAUAUUUUCUCAAAUAAAUCCGUACCCAAGGGGUUAAGCAUGGAAGAAAAGGUAAAUCUCAUCGAGUGCUUCUACGCUAGGGGCAAGAACUAUACUGCAGCGUAUCGUGGAUUCCGUAAUAAAUAUGGAUCCAAAAAGGAUUCAAACGAAACUACACUUAGAAAGAUUAUUAAUAAUU